rnacentral:lncRNA from 1 species
UUAUCAAAAUUGUUAUAACUUAGACACACAAAUUUGUCCCACUGAUCACAUCCUUUUAUAUAUCAACCCAAGAUGCUAGAUUCAUUUCAUUGGUAACGCAUUUAUCUAUCUUAUGAAAAUACAUUGGCUCGUCAGAUUCACAUACUUGGCAAACCGAGCUCUUCUUCAACCCACUGACGGUUGUUUCUACAACAUUCACAGUUUACAUUACCAUCUAAAUACUAUUACAUUCAAUCUCUCACCCUGUCAUCCAUCUCAACGAUCAAUUACAUACGGACCCUCCUCAGGUGCUCUGAGGCAGCUCCGACUCCAAGGAUAAACUGGCAAGCUGCGAUACGGCAACAGCUAGCUAGCGAAGAAUGGAGGAGCACCGUGCACUUGUGGGCACCACACCAUAAUUCAUCACCUUGGUCAUCUGGAUCAAGAAAUGACAACUAUUCCAUCUGUCGUUCCUUUCAUCAUGGCUAUUGUAUUAUAAUUCGGCAAUGGCACCUGCAUGGACGAAAGAGAGGGAUGGUGCAGGUUAAAGCUUGGGAGCAGAGGAUGAUCAGACCAGGCGAAGGAGAGGAGGCAUUGAUAGACUUGUCGUAGCAACCUGAAGUAGAUGAUGACGCCUUCUACAGCGAUGGGCAGUGGGAGGCAUUGAUGCCGUACCAUCUUCUGGAGUUUCGCUGCCACCUAUAAAAUAAGCAAAAAUGCUUUAGAUAAUCUACGUUUGAGUGCCACAAACUACUGGAGGUGGGGUUACCAUGCUUCUGCAUAAUUCGACACGGUUUGGGGGCAUUCUAAUGCAAAUUAAGUAUGGCUUAAGUACUAUAUUGAACGGAUUGGACUGUAGAGUAUAACAAAACAAGAAAAAAAAGGAAACUCAACCUUGAACAGAGCAAAUAUCAGAGGGGCCAAAAUUGGACAUUAAACUAUUUAUUUUAAUUUAAUUAAUUGUACUUUAAUUUGACUAAUAUAUUUUUGCUAUAUUAAUGUAAUAUUAAUAUAAUAUCUUAAUAUAAUUAAUACAAUAUUAAUAUAAUAUAAGUGAGGGUUUUUUCAUCAAGAAAUGGUAUUUUUAUAUUACCUAAACUCGAUAAUUCAGUAUGAGAAAAUAUAAGAUCCAACAUCUGCUGGUAUUUGUAUUACCUUCUUUCUUAGAAAAAUAAAUAUAUGACCCACCAUUUAUUUUACUAUCUCUCUCAUCCAUUUUUCGUACCAGACAUGGUAAUUUGAUAUAUAAGAUUUUAUUUUGGUAUGCUAGAUUACCCCUAACCAAAGAGGCCCAUAAUAUUUAUUUAAAAAAUAAAAAAUUAAAAAUAAAAUAUGUUAAUUUAGAAAGAUUUAGUUUUACUACUUGUGAACUGCCAAACAUCUUCUUUCAUGGUUUGUGGAAUUGCAUACCUUUAAUUGGCCAUUGCUCGGCAUCAUGCUAAGAUCCUCUAUUGGCAACGAAUCUUUCAUUGGAAGGAUACCUUUGAGCUGGUUGCAAGGAUCCCUGAUUCAUUCUCAUCUCCUUCCACCAUUCGCGAGAAGAUGGUUGGAAUUCGAUUAGAGCCGCAUAGAGGGCUAUAAGGUACCCAGAAGGGUUUGCUGGACCUUGAUAUUAGGUAUGGAUGGUGUGGGACAUAUUUGGAGAGGUUAGAGGCUAUAAUGAUACAUAACUUUGGUUGUGGGCAUGUUGAUACCCACCGAGGCAAGGGAUUUGGAGGUUGUGGUAUCAUUGUGAUAAAAGGUUUGCU